CUAAGGGCCAGAACAGGAGAGAGAAGAGGUCAGUCCCCACAGCAGUCCAGGCCACGUGACAGAGGUGUCCCUCUAUUUCUUGUUUGCUUGCAUUGAAGGAAACCGGUUGCCAUGCUAUGAGCUGCCCGAUGGAAAGGCCCACAUGGAAGGAACUGAAGUCUUCUGGCUCAAAGUCACUGAGGAACUGAGGCCCUCAGUGCAAAGGCCCUCAAGGUAUUGAGUUCUGCCAACAGUCAUACGAGUAAGACUGGAAGUGGAUCUUCCCGCAGUCAGGCCAUCAGGUGAGACCGCAUUCCUGGCUGACACUCUGACUGCAGCCAUGAGACACGUGGAGCCAGAGGCACCUGGCCAAACUGCAGCUGGAUUCCUGACCCACAGAAGACCCACACAAUAAAUGUUUCUUGUUUUAAGUAGUUAAGUUUUUUGUAAUUUAUUAUGCAGCAAUAGAUAACUAGUACAUCACAGGUAGUAUAGCUGGUGAUGAUGUUAGGAUAGUAGGAGCAUCAGUUUGUCUCUGUAGUCAACAGGCUUGGUGCUUGGACAAGUCAUAUCACCUUUACCUGGUUGAUGUGGGUAAGUCAGUCCUGGCCAUGCCUUCUUUGCUAGUCAUCUGUAGGAAUAAGAUGGAGAUGGGGCGGGUCCUGUAGUGAGUUCUGCUUCAAAUUGCUGGCAGGCCCAUGAAGUGUGUGGACAUAUCUGUCACCUCAUUUGAAUCCUUACAAAACCCUAUGAGGUGGUGUGGUGUUCUCCAUUUUUAAAGAGGAGACACAGAGGCUUGGAGAGGCUAAGUAACUUUCUCAAGGUAAUAGAAUUAGGAAGUGCUGGAGUUGAGACAGAUGCCGAGCCCCAUGCUCUAAGGGACUAUCUCAGAAGGGAUCACCCACACCUGACUAUUGACAUUAUUACUAGUGCUCUCAGAAACAGUGAUAUUGUUUAGGUAAUCCAGUCUCACCGAAUCAGAUGGGGCAUCUUCUAAAAUAGACCAGAGGCAGGCAAGGAAAGG
rnacentral:lncRNA from 1 species